CCCUUAGAUGUUCUGGGCUGCACGCGUGUUACAAUCGAGAGUACAACAAGAUUGCAAAUCCUAGUGGAUGAGUGGUUCUUCGAAAUUUUCUGAAGACUGGGAUAGUUGAUUGAAAUUAUUCAACUCAAACGAGGAAUUCCUUGUAAUUGUAAUUCAUUAUAUUGUAAUGAAUACGUCCCUGCCCUUUGUACACACCGCCCGUCGCUCCUACCGAUUGAACGAUCCGGUGAAUUAUUUGGAGUAGCUCUGGAAGUUGCAGAACUUCCUAUGUCACGAAAUUUUGUAAACCUUAUCGUUUAGAGGAAGGAAAAGUCGUAACA
rnacentral:rRNA from 1 species